GUUGAAAACAAAAAUGUUUUUCCCCUCUGAUUCCUUAUCCUUCCUCUCACAGAGGACCAGGAGAAGAAACCAGUGGCAAGGUACACCUGCCAGUGGUGCCCAGAGGAGUUGCUCAGCCUCCCUCGUGUCAGCCAGGACGUGAAAGGGAGACCACCUGGCCUGCGUGCUCAGAAGCCUCAGAGUAUUUAGAAAUGGGCAGACGCGGGGCAGCCUUGGGACCAAAUGCUGCUGGAGGAAAACCAGACAAUCCAGUGUGGGUACCGCCAAGCUCCAGCACCGUCUCCUCUGAAAAGCCCCUUGUCCCCAGUGUGUUUUUCCGGAUGACUCCGUGGACAUGCGUCUCUAGGGAUGCUGCAGUUGGCUAUCACUACAGGCGUCCUGCCUUUCUCCUACCAGGAAAGUCGUGAGUAAACAGAAGUUUCGUAAAUCGAGUCAAUGUUCCUAGCAACCUCCAUGACCAUUUCAGAGAUGCU